GUUUGGGUCCUCAGCUCAACUGACCAAGCUUUGCUCAUUGAAGGCAUGAAGUAAUUUGUGAUGCCCCCACGAUUGCAGUUUUUAAACGCAGAUGGCUUGCUCUUUUUAACAUGUGCGAGAGCUGGAUGGUCUUUCAACAACACUGCUCCGGGUCUUCAGCAAGAAAGGUGCUUCUCAUGCAAGGAAGAUACAGAGGAUCCUGGUGCCCAUGACUCAGGUAAAACAUGCACACUGCCAUGCAUCACAGUAAUGCUAAAAUUUCAAGAUCUAAUGUAAUGGGGAGAAGUAGGGUGUCUUGGAUCAUAUUGCAUUUCUCCCACUAAUUUCAAUCCUUCAGCCAGUUUUGAACUCAUUGUCUUCACCUCAGUUCUAACUACAGCUGGCUUUACACACAGCAGUCCUGGGCAAUGAUAUAACAGUCUUUUGCAGACUGACAACAUUGAUGUGAAGAGGGAGUGCAUGCUGAGGAGCUGACGGUCUACCUGAAUGAAGAGCCAGACAAAGUGGAUGUUGAUCUGGACGGUCCAGCUGAAACGUAUUGUCUUCGUGUGCGUGUGAUCGGCAGAGAGUCCUCAACGACAUUGGUAACGUACCUGUGGCCAUUGCAGUGUUUGUUUUGGUUUAUGCUCUUAAUCUCUGUUACCUUCCAGAAUGGAAGUACACUUUCAAAUUUCUGUUUCAUUCUAACCGU